rnacentral:rRNA from 1 species
AUUGAACGCUGGCGGCAGGCCUAACACAUGCAAGUCGAGCGGAUGAAGGGAGCUUGCUCCUGGAUUCAGCGGCGGACGGGUGAGUAAUGCCUAGGAAUCUGCCUGGUAGUGGGGGACAACGUUUCGAAAGGAACGCUAAUACCGCAUACGUCCUACGGGAGAAAGCAGGGGACCUUCGGGCCUUGCGCUAUCAGAUGAGC